GACAGGGUGGCUCAGUGGUUAGCACUGUUGCCUUGUACCUCCAGGGUUGGGGGUUUGAGUCCCGCCUCUGCCC